AACCUGCCCUUGACUCUGGGAUAAGCCUGGGAAACUGGGUCUAAUACCGGAUAUGACUCCUCAUCGCAUGGUGGGGGGUGGAAAGCUUUUGUGGUUUUGGAUGGACUCGCGGCCUAUCAGCUUGUUGGUGGGGUAAUGGCCUACCAAGGCGACGACGGGUAGCCGGCCUGAGAGGGUGACCGGCCACACUGGGACUGAGACACGGCCCAGACUCCUACGGGAGGCAGCAGUGGGGAA
rnacentral:rRNA from 1 species